rnacentral:lncRNA from 1 species
ACCGAUCAGAUUGUCCGUUUGAUCACCAUUAUCCAGUUUAUCAUAAAUUUUGUAUGGGUUUAUUUCAUAUCGUGUUCAUUGAAUUUGAGCAUUACUUAUUUAUUACAUAUUAUUAUUGUCAUUAUUAUAAACAUAGUACUAUACUGUAUUUGCUCUUGAAAUGCAGGUGGCAAGAUAUAGAAAGAGAACAACAAAUAAAGGAAGCUGGAAUCCUGAAGCAUUAAGUGCAGUCAUUAGUCAUAAAAAUGAUGGAAGAACAAUUCAUGAAGUGUCACGAUUAUUUGGCAUUCCCUUCUCAACACUGCAUGACAGAUUGAGGACUGGGAAUACUGAAAAUGCAUUGUUUGGUAGGAAAGCAUUAUUUUCUAAAGAUCAGGAGAAAGAAAUUACAGAUCAUUGCAUUGUGUUAGCUAAGAUGUUUUGGGAUAAUCUGCACUGCUCUCAAAC